GGACGAACGCUGGCGGCGUGCCUAAUACAUGCAAGUCGAACGGUUUAGUUCCAAGAGGCUUGCCUUUUGGAACUAGACAGUGGCGGACGGGUGAGUAACACGUAGGCAACCUACCUGUCAAACCGGGAUAACCUCGGGAAACCGAAGCUAAACCCGGAUAAGCUCCUUUUUCGCAUGAAGGGGGAGUGAAAAGGUGCGACCUGAUGACAGAUGGGCCUGCGGCGCAUUAGCUAGUAGGUAGGGUAACGGCCUACCUAGGCGAUGAUGCGUAGCCGACCUGAGAGGGCGUACGGCCACACUGGGACUGAGAUACGGCCCAGACUCCUACGGGAGGCAGCAGUAGGGAAUCUUCGGCAAUGGGCGAAAGCCUGACCGAGCAACGCCGCGUGAGUGAGGAAGGCCUUCGGGUUGUAAAACUCUGUUGUUUGGGAAGAAGGGAAAGGGUAGGACCCUUUGGUGACGGUACCAAACGAGAAAGCCCCGGCUAACUACGUG
rnacentral:rRNA from 1 species